rnacentral:rRNA from 1 species
GGAGCCUGAGAAACGGCUACCACAUCUAAGGAAGGCAGCAGGCGCGCAAAUUACCCAAUCCAGACACAGGGAGGUAGUGACAAGAAAUAACAAUACAGGGCAUUUCCUGCUUUGKAAUUGGAAUGAWGGGAAUAUAAACCCCUUUCAGAAUAACGAUUGGAGGGCAAGUCUGGGGCCAGCAGCCGCGGUAAUUCCAGCUCCAAUAGCGUAUAUUAAAGUUGUUGCAGUUAAAAAGCUCAAAAUUGGAUUUCUGUUGGGAAUCGCCGGUCCGUUCUUUGGAGUGUGCACUGGGYAGAUCUCAGCAUCCUUGUUGUYUGCAUUUUCCAYUUCAUUGUGCGAGUAUGUAUUUCCAGGAAUUUUAYUUUGAGAAAAAAAGAGUGUUUCAAGCAGGCUUGUUGCCCUGAAUACUACAGCCUGGAAUAAUAAGAUAGGAUUUYGGUUCUAUUUUGUUGGUUUCUAGGACUGAAGUAAUGA